rnacentral:rRNA from 1 species
CAGCAGCCGCGGUAAUACGUAGGUGGCAAGCGUUGCCCGGAAUUACUGGGCGUAAAGGGCUCGCAGGCGGUUUCUUAAGUCUGAUGUGAAAGCCCCCGGCUCAACCGGGGAGGGUCAUUGGAAACUGGGAAACUUGAGUGCAGAAGAGGAGAGUGGAAUUCCACGUGUAGCGGUGAAAUGCGUAGAGAUGUGGAGGAACACCAGUGGCGAAGGCGACUCUCUGGUCUGUAACUGACGCUGAGGAGCGAAAGCGUGGGGAGCGAACAGGAUUAGAGACCCCGGUAGUCCCUGUCUCUUAUAC